rnacentral:tmRNA from 1 species
GGGGGCGAACAGGGUUCGACCGGAUAGCCGAAGCGUAAGUGGCGUGUCGUGGUUGAUCAGUGGGCCACGUAAAAAGCUGAUCACAAUUUCAAUUGCCGAAGGCAAUUACGCACUGGCUGCCUAAUUAAAGGCAACCCGGACUAAGGACUGGAGCCAGACUGGCCCGGACGUCCGUCACCAAAUCUGGAUCGCCGCCGGUCAUUGCCGAGCACGCCGGCGGUUAAACUAGUUCUCGGCUAGCCCACCAGUAGCCAGGUCGACUCGGCGACUGGCGAGGCAAAAUCAAAUCUGUCGACUACACACGUAGAGGCUUGCGUGGAGAUGUCACGGGACGCGGGUUCGAUUCCCGCCGCCUCCACCA